ensembl:lncRNA
AGCUGUGGGGGAACUAAUGAUUGGUUUGGCCGUUGCAGCAGGGGGUUCAAAUUGAUUGACGGACGUAGCUCCAGUAUACUCCUGAACACUCCUGGACAGACCAGUCUUCUGUGGCUGCAGUGCAGAGUCUGCUGACGUGUCUCUGCUUAUCGGCGGCGUCAUGCGUGUGUAGGGUCGGACAUCCGAGGACCUUCCUACAAUUCUGGAUGAGCAGUGAAGUUGACAUCGUGGGGUGUACUCCACCAGGGUAAGCAUGGAACUCCAUUAUCUGUAAGAGUCAAUCUUAUUAUUAUUAACAGACAGGCAAUCUCAUUGAAAACUGAGAUUACUCUACACCAUGGCUUUCUAUAAAAUACAGAG